UCCCUGGUGGUUCAGUGGUUAGGACUCUGCACUUUCACUGCCAGGACCUGGGUUUGCUCCCUGGCUGGGGAA
rfam:TPA: Bos taurus chromosome 24, whole genome shotgun sequence.